GAUGAACGCUGGCGGCGUGCCUAAUACAUGCAAGUCGAGCGAACGGACGAGAAGCUUGCUUCUCUGAUGUUAGCGGCGGACGGGUGAGUAACACGUGGAUAACCUACCUAUAAGACUGGGAUAACUUCGGGAAACCGGAGCUAAUACCGGAUAAUAUUUUGAACCGCAUGGUUCAAAAGUGAAAGACGGUCUUGCUGUCACUUAUAGAUGGAUCCGCGCUGCAUUAGCUAGUUGGUAAGGUAACGGCUUACCAAGGCAACGAUGCAUAGCCGACCUGAGAGGGUGAUCGGCCACACUGGAACUGAGACACGGUCCAGACUCCUACGGGAGGCAGCAGUAGGGAAUCUUCCGCAAUGGGCGAAAGCCUGACGGAGCAACGCCGCGUGAGUGAUGAAGGUCUUCGGAUCGUAAAACUCUGUUAUUAGGGAAGAACAUAUGUGUAAGUAACUGUGCACAUCUUGACGGUACCUAAUCAGAAAGCCACGGCUAACUACGUGCCAGCAGCCGCGGUAAUACGUAGGUGGCAAGCGUUAUCCGGAAUUAUUGGGCGUAAAGCGCGCGUAGGCGGUUUUUUAAGUCUGAUGUGAAAGCCCACGGCUCAACCGUGGAGGGUCAUUGGAAACUGGAAAACUUGAGUGCAGAAGAGGAAAGUGGAAUUCCAUGUGUAGCGGUGAAAUGCGCAGAGAUAUGGAGGAACACCAGUGGCGAAGGCGACUUUCUGGUCUGUAACUGACGCUGAUGUGCGAAAGCGUGGGGAUCAAACAGGAUUAGAUACCCUGGUAGUCCACGCCGUAAACGAUGAGGGCUAAGUGUUAGGGGGUUUCCGCCCCUUAGUGCUGCAGCUAACGCAUUAAGCACUCCGCCUGGGGAGUACGACCGCAAGGUUGAAACUCAAAGGAAUUGACGGGGACCCGCACAAGUGGUGGGGCAUGUGGUUUAAUUCGAAGCAACGCGAAGAACCUUACCAAAUCUUGACAUCCUUUGACAACUCUAGAGAUAGAGCCUUCCCCUUCGGGGGACAAAGUGACAGGUGGUGCAUGGUUGUCGUCAGCUCGUGUCGUGAGAUGUUGGGUUAAGUCCCGCAACGAGCGCAACCCUUAAGCUUAGUUGCCAUCAUUAAGUUGGGCACUCUAAGUUGACUGCCGGUGACAAACCGGAGGAAGGUGGGGAUGACGUCAAAUCAUCAUGCCCCUUAUGAUUUGGGCUACACACGUGCUACAAUGGACAAUACAAAGGGCAGCGAAACCGCGAGGUCAAGCAAAUCCCAUAAAGUUGUUCUCAGUUCGGAUUGUAGUCUGCAACUCGACUACAUGAAGCUGGAAUCGCUAGUAAUCGUAGAUCAGCAUGCUACGGUGAAUACGUUCCCGGGUCU
rnacentral:rRNA from 1 species